GAUCAUGACUCAGGAUGAACGCUGGCGGCGUGCCUAAUACAUGCAAGUCGAGCGAACAGACGAGGAGCUUGCUCCUUUGACGUUAGCGGCGGACGGGUGAGUAACACGUAGGUAACCUACCUAUAAGACUGGGAUAACUUCGGGAAACCGGAGCUAAUACCGGAUAAUAUUUCGAACCGCAUGGUUCGAUAGUGAAAGAUGGCUUUGCUAUCACUUAUAGAUGGACCUGCGCCGUAUUAG
rnacentral:rRNA from 1 species